rnacentral:rRNA from 1 species
AGCGUACACGGUGGAUGCCCUGGCAGUCAGAGGCGAUGAAGGACGUGCUAAUCUGCGAUAAGCGUCGGUGAGGUGAUAUGAACCGUUAUAACCGGCGAUUUCCGAAUGGGGAAACCCAGUGUGUUUCGACACACUAUCAUUAACUGAAUCCAUAGGUUAAUGAGGCGAACCGGGGGAACUGAAACAUCUAAGUACCCCGAGGAAAAGAAAUCAACCGAGAUUCCCCCAGUAGCGGCGAGCGAACGGGGAGGAGCCCAGAGCCUGAAUCAGUGUGUGUGUUAGUGGAAGCGUCUGGAAAGGCGCGCGAUACAGGGUGACAGCCCCGUACACAAAAAUGCACAUAUUGUGAGCUCGAUGAGUAGGGCGGGACACGUGGUAUCCUGUCUGAAUAUGGGGGGACCAUCCUCCAAGGCUAAAUACUCCUGACUGACCGAUAGUGAACCAGUACCGUGAGGGAAAGGCGAAAAGAACCCCGGCGAGGGGAGUGAAAAAGAACCUGAAACCGUGUACGUACAAGCAGUGGGAGCCUCUUUAUGGGGUGACUGCGUACCUUUUGUAUAAUGGGUCAGCGACUUAUAUUCUGUAGCAAGGUUAACCGAAUAGGGGAGCCGAAGGGAAACCGAGUCUUAACUGGGCGUUAAGUUGCAGGGUAUAGACCCGAAACCCGGUGAUCUAGCCAUGGGCAGGUUGAAGGUUGGGUAACACUAACUGGAGGACCGAACCGACUAAUGUUGAAAAAUUAGCGGAUGACUUGUGGCUGGGGGUGAAAGGCCAAUCAAACCGGGAGAUAGCUGGUUCUCCCCGAAAGCUAUUUAGGUAGCGCCUCGUGAAUUCAUCUCCGGGGGUAGAGCACUGUUUCGGCAAGGGGGUCAUCCCGACUUACCAACCCGAUGCAAACUGCGAAUACCGGAGAAUGUUAUCACGGGAGACACACGGCGGGUGCUAACGUCCGUCGUGAAGAGGGAAACAACCCAGACCGCCAGCUAAGGUCCCAAAGUCAUGGUUAAGUGGGAAACGAUGUGGGAAGGCCCAGACAGCCAGGAUGUUGGCUUAGAAGCAGCCAUCAUUUAAAGAAAGCGUAAUAGCUCACUGGUCGAGUCGGCCUGCGCGGAAGAUGUAACGGGGCUAAACCAUGCACCGAAGCUGCGGCAGCGACACUAUGUGUUGUUGGGUAGGGGAGCGUUCUGUAAGCCUGUGAAGGUGGCCUGUGAGGGUUGCUGGAGGUAUCAGAAGUGCGAAUGCUGACAUAAGUAACGAUAAAGCGGGUGAAAAGCCCGCUCGCCGGAAGACCAAGGGUUCCUGUCCAACGUUAAUCGGGGCAGGGUGAGUCGACCCCUAAGGCGAGGCCGAAAGGCGUAGUCGAUGGGAAACAGGUUAAUAUUCCUGUACUUGGUGUUACUGCGAAGGGGGGACGGAGAAGGCUAUGUUGGCCGGGCGACGGUUGUCCCGGUUUAAGCGUGUAGGCUGGUUUUCCAGGCAAAUCCGGAAAACCAAGGCUGAGGCGUGAUGACGAGGCACUACGGUGCUGAAGCGACAAAUGCCCUGCUUCCAGGAAAAGCCUCUAAGCAUCAGGUAACAUCAAAUCGUACCCCAAACCGACACAGGUGGUCAGGUAGAGAAUACCAAGGCGCUUGAGAGAACUCGGGUGAAGGAACUAGGCAAAAUGGUGCCGUAACUUCGGGAGAAGGCACGCUGAUAUGUAGGUGAAGCGACUUGCUCGUGGAGCUGAAAUCAGUCGAAGAUACCAGCUGGCUGCAACUGUUUAUUAAAAACACAGCACUGUGCAAACACGAAAGUGGACGUAUACGGUGUGACGCCUGCCCGGUGCCGGAAGGUUAAUUGAUGGGGUUAGCGGUAACGCGAAGCUCUUGAUCGAAGCCCCGGUAAACGGCGGCCGUAACUAUAACGGUCCUAAGGUAGCGAAAUUCCUUGUCGGGUAAGUUCCGACCUGCACGAAUGGCGUAAUGAUGGCCAGGCUGUCUCCACCCGAGACUCAGUGAAAUUGAAYUCGCUGUGAAGAUGCAGUGUACCCGCGGCAAGACGGAAAGACCCCGUGAACCUUUACUAUAGCUUGACACUGAACAUUGAGCCUUGAUGUGUAGGAUAGGUGGGAGGCUUUGAAGUGUGGACGCCAGUCUGCAUGGAGCCGACCUUGAAAUACCACCCUUUAAUGUUUGAUGUUCUAACGUUGGCCCGUAAUCCGGGUUGCGGACAGUGUCUGGUGGGUAGUUUGACUGGGGCGGUCUCCUCCUAAAGAGUAACGGAGGAGCACGAAGGUUGGCUAAUCCUGGUCGGACAUCAGGAGGUUAGUGCAAUGGCAUAAGCCAGCUUGACUGCGAGCGUGACGGCGCGAGCAGGUGCGAAAGCAGGUCAUAGUGAUCCGGUGGUUCUGAAUGGAAGGGCCAUCGCUCAACGGAUAAAAGGUACUCCGGGGAUAACAGGCUGAUACCGCCCAAGAGUUCAUAUCGACGGCGGUGUUUGGCACCUCGAUGUCGGCUCAUCACAUCCUGGGGCUGAAGUAGGUCCCAAGGGUAUGGCUGUUCGCCAUUUAAAGUGGUACGCGAGCUGGGUUUAGAACGUCGUGAGACAGUUCGGUCCCUAUCUGCCGUGGGCGCUGGAGAACUGAGGGGGGCUGCUCCUAGUACGAGAGGACCGGAGUGGACGCAUCACUGGUGUUCGGGUUGUCAUGCCAAUGGCACUGCCCGGUAGCUAAAUGCGGAAGAGAUAAGUGCUGAAAGCAUCUAAGCACGAAACUUGCCCCGAGAUGAGUUCU